UUUUGAAUGGAUGUGAGUGGAGGAGAGUCUUACCUACCCUAAAUAAAUUGCAUUUGAGAGGCAAUAGCGUAUCAUUUAAUGAACAGACAGCCUGUCCGCUAAUCUUCAACAUGGUGUACAUUAAACAAUAAUGCUUCUGUAGAGAACUAUAUGUAGGAUUUAAACGGUCUUUAAAAGAGAAGGCAAUGUCACGACAGAAUCUUUGCAGAUACAAUGAUGUAGUUUGCCAUGCAUCUUAGAAGUUGUAGUCGAUUUGCGAACACAGCUUUAAAUGCGGCCUAUGAAAAGGACUUCAUUUCCCAGAAUGCUCCCUCUCACAAGAAGAACCAGAAAGUAAAAUUAAAAAAAAGAACACGACAACAGUCCAUUUUGUGGAACAGCAGACUCAUCUCCAGUCAAAGACAGACUCCCUGAGGCCACCAAAAAGGAAAACAAAGUACUUGAUCUUGGAUUAUAUGUUGGAGUGGAUGUGAAGACACAGUCUGGUGAAUGUAGAUGGCAAUAAAAAACCCAGGCCAAAACUGUAAACUGGAGAGCUGUACAUGGAAAAUAUGAUUCCCAAUUUUGUUGUGAUUGGCACCAAGAAGUCCUUCAUUUGCACAGAUGACUGAGCUGGAGGUCACAAAAAGUUCCGAAACCUGGGUUUCAUCUAAUUGUUUUCAUUUUCUACAGUGUUGUUUGUAACUUAUUUGCAACUUAUAACUGUAUAUUUGCACCUCUGUUAACACAUUUUUGUCUUUAAUUUCUCUUGUUUGUCUAUUCAGUUUGUUUAUUGGUCUCUGUUAAUAUAUUUUUAUGCACUAAAUAUUUUACAUUGUGUUAAUUUAAUCCUUAAUGUAUGAAUUUAGUGC